UUCACAGGCCUGCCUCGGCCUCAGCGCGCCGGAAGCGGAAGUCAGGAGGCGGUCGAAUUCUGGCCGAAGUGGCUCUGUUACCUGGGAGAGGUGGAGGCGUGUAUACGGAGGUCCUGUGCCAGCGCCCUGGACCGGAGAUCUACACAAUCUAAACAUUAAACAGAACAGCCGCUUCAAACCCCUGAGAUUAUAACAUCCAUCACUCCAGUUUUCCCUAUUACAGAUUUCUCUGGUGGCUCAGUGGUAAAGAACCCACCUGCACAAUGCAGGAGACACAGGUUGGAUCCCUGAUCUGGGAAGAUCUCACAUGCUGUGGAGCAACUAAGCCCGGGAACUGCAACUACUGAAGCUCGCAUGUCCUAGAGCCUGUGCUCCGAAACAAGAAAAGCACUUGCAAUAAGAAGCCCUCACACUACUAGAGAGUAGCCCUUGCUCACUACAACUAGAGAAAACUCUGAGCAGAAAUGAAGACAGCUAUAAAGAAAUAACUAAAUGAAAUUAUAUAUAAAAAAAGAAGAAUCCACCUUCCAGUGCAGGAGACUAGGGUUUGAUUCCUGGUCGGGGAACUAUUAAUAAGCUCUCACAUGCAGAGGGGCAACUAAGCCCAUGCCCCACAUCUAGAGAAAGCCCACGUGCGGCAACAAAGACCUAGUGCAGCCAAAAUUAAAAGAAAAGUUUUCCCCAUUAAAUACAGUGCUGUUGUUGGCUUUUCCAGUGCUUGAUGGUGCAAACCAUUCUCUUGUCUGUGGAUACAAAUGGAAGGACCCAGGUUGGUCACCCAGGACAGAAGUCACAUUGUUGAAGGUCUGCAGAAUUAACCUAUAGCACACUGUGGUGUAAGAGAUAGAGUCUCCUAUUAAAGAUGAAGACAGGAGGUCCUUGUUUCAAUUCAGCCUUCCAUUCACUGUCAGGCCCUGAGCACGAUAUUUAAUGAACGGAUGGCCUUCCUGUCCUGGGAAAUUGGAAAUGAUGGUCCUGACUGCUGGGCUUGAAGUGGGCUGAACAGGAGAGCAACCCAUUCUGGCUUCACUCCCAUGAAUGAUUUUUUUUUCCUACUAUAUACAAGGAGUGGAAAAACUUUUAAAAAAUCUUUCAGCCACACCACGUGGCAUAUGGGAUCUUAUUUCCCUGACCAGGGAUUGAACUUGUGUCCCCUGCAUUGACAGCUCAGAGUCUUAACCACUGGGCUGCCACGGAGGUCCUGAGAAGCAUUUUAAGAGAAACAUGAAGAAAGAGAAUGCAGUAGAAACCCACUCUUAAGUAUUAUUUAAUGGCUACAUAAUGUUUCCUGUCCCAAUAAACGUUAUCUGACUC